ACUCGUAUGGUAAGGUGGCGGCUUUGGAAACAACCGCAAACGUAUUCAAGGUAUGUAAACGUUAGGACACUUAACCCAUACGAGUUU
rnacentral:sRNA from 18 species